rnacentral:tRNA from 1 species
GUCUUAUUGGUAUAGUGGUUAGCGAGUGAAGCUACCAUUCUAAUGGUCUAAGGUUCGAAUCCCACAAUAGACU